GAUCUGAAGUUAGGGAGAAAUAUAUUGAAUUACAACCUUAGGGAUUAAUUGGCUGUUUGAGCCUAGAUAAGUCACUUUACUUCCCUCAGCCUCAGUUUCUUCAUUUGUUAAGUGGGGAUAAUAAUCAUUCUAGGUCUGUUGUAAGGAUAAAAUGAGAUGAAACUUUUUGAAAGCCUUUAGCCCCUAUGCAAAUUCUAGUUAUUAUUUUUUUACUGAAGUGUAGAAAGAAGUUGUAAUCUGUUUCAGGAGUGUAUACACUGGUGAAAUCAGAGAAGCUUAGAGUAUUGAGUUAAGACCAGGGAGCUGAUCUGCAUUAUAUCAUUGAGAAUGGGUUGGAAGGUAAAGUAAAUUAGAACCCUAAAACCAGGGCAGCUGGGUGCCACAGGGGAUACAGAACCAGUUCAGGAGUUGAGAGGACCUGAGUUCACAUCUGGAUACUUCCGAGCUGUGGCUCUUGUCCUAGGGAUAAAGCAGAACUGGUUUUAUCUUUAUUCUCUUCCUUACCUUUAUUCUGAGGGCUACAUGGUUAAUGAUUGGCCAUAUGAAGUCAGAAAGAGAGUACCAAACAAAGAAGAAACUACGACAGACUGGUGGGUCAGCAUCUCACCUUCACCUUGGCUCUGCACUGUCCAAACAAUUCCCUCAAGGGGAUGAUGAUGGUGAUGAGAAGAAAUUUCUGGAAGAAGAAUCAGUAGGAGCAGACACAGAGUUUGUUCCCUCCAAGGGCAAGCAGAGGGAAUCAUGAGUAAAGCCAUGCAGACCAAUGGGUAUAGUGACAUGAGUUCCUUGGAAACAACAAGGCAACAAGCACUCAAACAAAUGCCCUCUUCCUCAGUAACUAAUCAAGAUAAAAAGCAUUCCUGAAAAUCCCUUACCCACCCUCCUUAUUGUACUUUACCUUACCUUACCUAUCUCCUCACUUUUUUUUUCCCUAGUUACUCUGUUACUCUAUUCUCUCAUAAUAAAGCUUGUUCCC
rnacentral:lncRNA from 1 species